GACGAACGCUGGCGGCGUGCCUAAUACAUGCAAGUCGAGCGGACAGAAGGGAGCUUGCUCCCGGAAGUUAGCGGCGGACGGGUGAGUAACACGUGGGCAACCUACCCUGUAGAUCGGGAUAACAUCGAGAAAUCGGUGCUAAUACCGGAUAAUCAUUUGAAGUGCAUGCUUCGAAUGUAAAAGAUGGCUCCGGCUACCAAUACGGCAUGGGCCCGCGGCGCAUUGGCUAGUUGGUAAGGUAAUGGCUUACCAAGGCAACGAUGCGUAGCCGACCUGAGAGGGUGAUCGGCCACACUGGGACUGAGACACGGCCCAGACUCCUACGGGAGGCAGAAGUAGGGAAUCUUCCGCAAUGGACGAAAGUCUGACGGAGCAACGCCGCGUGAGUGAUGAAGGUUUUCGGAUCGUAAAGCUCUGUUGUUAGGGAAGAACAAGUGCCGUUUGAAUAAGGCGGCACCUUGACGGUACCUAACCGGAAAGCCACGGCUAACUACGUGCCAGCAGCCGCGGUAACAC
rnacentral:rRNA from 1 species